rnacentral:rRNA from 1 species
CAAUGAACGCUGGCGGCAGGCCUUAACACAUGCAAGUCGAACGGUAACAGGAAGCAGCUUGCUGCUUUGCUGACGAGUGGCGGACGGGUGAGUAAUGUCUGGGAAACUGCCUGAUGGAGGGGGAUAACUACUGGAAACGGUAGCUAAUACCGCAUAACGUCGCAAGACCAAAGAGGGGGACCUUCGGGCCUCUUGCCAUCAGAUGUGCCCAGAUGGGAUUAGCUUGUUGGUGGGGUAACGGCUCACCAAGGCGACGAUCCCUAGCUGGUCUGAGAGGAUGACCAGCCACACUGGAACUGAGACACGGUCCAGACUCCUACGGGAGGCAGCAGUGGGGAAUAUUGCACAAUGGGCGCAAGCUUGAUGCAGCCAUGCCGCGUGUAUGAAGAAGGCCUUCGGGUUGUACAGUACUUUCAGCGGGGAGGAAGGUGCUGUGGUUAAUAACCACAGCAAUUGACGUUACCCGCAGAAGAAGCACCGGUAACUCCGUGCCAGCAGACCGCGGUAAUACGCGAGGGUGCAAGCGUUAAUCGGAAUACUGGGCGUAACAGCGCACGCAGGCGGCUGUAAGUCCAGAUGUGAAAUCCCCGGGCUCAAACCUGGGAACUGAUCUAG